UUGAGCGUGUCCCGAGUCUCCUGGUCCUC
rnacentral:piRNA from 1 species